GACGAACGCUGGCGGCGCGCUUAACACUUGCAAGUCGAACGGAAAGGCCUGCUUUCCCUUGUGGAUUGCGGGUACUCGAGUGGCGAACGGGUGAGUAACACGUGAGUGAUCUGCCCCCAACUUGGGUAUAAGCCUGGGAAACUGGGUCUAAUUCCCGAUAGGACUGCAGGGUGGUGCCUGUGGUGGAAAACGAUUUUCUAGUGGUUGGGGAUGAGCUCGCGGCCUAUCAGCUUGUUGGUGGGGUAAUGGACUACCAAGGCGGCGACGGGUAGCCGGCCUGAGAGGGUGGACGGCCACAUUGGGACUGAGAUACGGCCCAGACUCCUACGGGAGGCAGCAGUGGGGAAUAUUGCACAAUGGGCGGAAGCCUGAUGCAGCGACGCCGCGUGGGGGAUGACGGCCUUCGGGUUGUAAACUCCUUUCGACCGCGAGGAAGCCACCUGGUUGGAAGGGUGGUGACGGUAGUGGUAGAAGAAGCACCGGCUAACUACGUG
rnacentral:rRNA from 1 species